rnacentral:rRNA from 1 species
CCUACGGGAGGCAGCAGUGAGGAAUAUUGGUCAAUGGACGCAAGUCUGAACCAGCCAUGCCGCGUGCAGGAAGACGGCUCUAUGAGUUGUACACUGCUUUUGUACGAGGGUAAACGCAGAUACGCGUAUCUGUCUGAAAGUAUCGUACGAAUAAGGAUCGGCUAACUCCGUGCCAGCAGCCGCGGUAAUACGGAGGAUUCAAGCGUUAUCCGGAUUUAUUGGGUUUAAAGUGUGCGUAGGCGGUCGGAUAAGUUAGAGGUGAAAUCCCGAGGCUCAACUUCGGAAUUGCCUCUGUUACUGUUCGGCUAGAGAGUAGUUGCGGUAGGCGGAAUGUAUGGUGUAGCGGUGAAAUGCUUAGAGAUCAUACAGAACACCGAUUGCGAAGGCAGCUUACCAAGCUACGUCUGACGUUGAGGCACGAAAGCGUGGGGAGCAAACAGGAUUAGAUACCCCUGUAGUC